rnacentral:rRNA from 1 species
UUUCCCCGGGGUCCGGGGACGGAGGUCGAGGUGGUGCAUGGUUGUCGUCAGCUCGUGUCGUGAGAUGUUGGGUUAAGUCCCGCAACGAGCGCAACCCUCGACCUUAGUUGCCAGCAUUCAGUUGGGCACUCUAAGGUGACUGCCGGCUAAAAGUCGGAGGAAGGUGGGGAUGACGUCAAAUCAUCAUGCCCCUUAUGACCUGGGCUACACACGUGCUACAAUGGGCGGUACAAAGGGUCGCGAACCCGCGAGGGGGAGCCAAUCCCAAAAAGCCGCUCUCAGUUCGGAUUGCAGGCUGCAACUCGCCUGCAUGAAGCCGGAAUCGCUAGUAAUCGCGGAUCAGCAUGCCGCGGUGAAUACGUUCCCGGGCCUU